rnacentral:rRNA from 1 species
GAUGAACGCUGGCGGCGUGCCUAACACAUGCAAGUCGAGCGAUUCUCUUCGGAGAAGAGCGGCGGACGGGUGAGUAACGCGUGGGUAACCUGCCCUGUACACACGGAUAACAUACCGAAAGGUAUGCUAAUACGAGAUAAUAUACUUUUAUCGCAUGGUAGAGGUAUCAAAGCUCCGGCGGUACAGGAUGGACCCGCGUCUGAUUAGCUAGUUGGUAAGGUAACGGCUUACCAAGGCGACGAUCAGUAGCCGACCUGAGAGGGUGAUCGGCCACAUUGGAACUGAGACACGGUCCAAACUCCUACGGGAGGCAGCAGUGGGGAAUAUUGCACAAUGGGCGAAAGCCUGAUGCAGCAACGCCGCGUGAGCGAUGAAGGCCUUCGGGUCGUAAAGCUCUGUCCUCAAGGAAGAUAAUGACGGUACUUGGGGAGGAAGCCCCGGCUAACUACGUGCCAGCAGCCGCGGUAAAAC